AGAUGAAGCUGGAGGCCCGCAGGAAAGCAGAGGAGGAGAGGAGGAGGAGAGAGGAGGAGCUGACGAAGAGAGAGGUGGUUAACGUCACACACCUGGUGAUCCCUGCCGAGCUUGGCUCUUUACUGCAGGCUGCAUCAGGUGGCAGAGAGCUCCAUUCUGAGUGUCUAGCUCUGGUCCAGCUCCUCACGUCUCUCUGUGUGUCUAGGUGGCAGAGAGCUCCAUUCUGAGUGUCUAGCUCU